CUCCGCGCCCGCUCUGGUCCGCGCCGGGUCGGGAGCGGGGCCCGGUGGAGCGGCGGCCGCAGGGGAGAGGCUGGGGUUGUCAGGGGAAGGCCUGGAGUCCUCCAGGGACGGUUCGGUGUUCGCAGUGGACGGGCUGGGGUCCGCAGGAGACAAGAGGCAAUAACAGCUCAAGUCUCUGCAGGACACAGUUUUGUAAUGGUCUUUAUGCAUGUGCAUUUACUUCCUCUAUAAAAACCUUGUGAGAAGCCAUAAGAAAGAGCCACACUGGAAGGCAGAAUUAAUGUCUACUAAAAAAAUACCUGUGUGACCCUGAGAAAGAAUUUUCCUCCAGCAAGAUUUGUCCUGCAUCUUCCAGGUAUAUAAUUAAUUUGUAAUACCAGGAGCAGAGCUUUGUGAAUGGUACUGUUAGUACUCAGGUCAGCAGUAUUUAUUGCCUCAG
rnacentral:lncRNA from 1 species